rnacentral:rRNA from 1 species
AUUGAACGCUGGCGGCAGGCCUAACACAUGCAAGUCGAGCGGAUGAAGGGAGCUUGCUCCUGGAUUCAGCGGCGGACGGGUGAGUAAUGCCUAGGAAUCUGCCUGGUAGUGGGGGAUAACGUCCGGAAACGGGCGCUAAUACCGCAUACGUCCUGAGGGAGAAAGUGGGGGAUCUUCGGACCUCACGCUAUCAGAUGAGCCUAGGUCGGAUUAGCUAGUUGGUGGGGUAAAGGCCUACCAAGGCGACGAUCCGUAACUGGUCUGAGAGGAUGAUCAGUCACAGUGGAAGAGAGACACGGUGCAGACGCCUACGGGAGGCAGCAGUAGGGAAUAUUGCGAAAUGGGCGAAAGCAUGAAGGAGAAAUGCGGAGGGAGUGAGGAAGGUAUUGGGAUUGUAAAACUCUGUUAUUAGGGAAGAAAAAAAGUGUAAGUAAAUAUGGAGGUAUUGACGGUACAUAAUAAGAAGGCAACGGCUAACUACGUG